rnacentral:rRNA from 1 species
UGGGGAAUUUUGGACAAUGGGCGCAAGCCUGAUCCAGCAAUGCCGCGUGCAGGAUGAAGGCCUUCGGGUUGUAAACUGCUUUUGUAAGGAGCGAAAAGGUCUGCCCUAAUACGGUGGGCUCAUGACGGUACCGUAAGAAUAAGCACCGGCUAACUACGUGCCAGCAGCCGCGGUAAUACGUAGGGUGCAAGCGUUAAUCGGAAUUACUGGGCGUAAAGCGUGCGCAGGCGGUUAUAUAAGACAGAUGUGAAAUCCCCGGGCUCAACCUGGGACCUGCAUUUGUGACUGUAUAGCUAGAGUACGGUAGAGGGGGAUGGAAUUCCGCGUGUAGCAGUGAAAUGCGUAGAUAUGCGGAGGAACACCGAUGGCGAAGGCAAUCCCCUGGACCUGUACUGACGCUCAUGCACGAAAGCGUGGGGAGCAAACA